AACCUCCGCAAUGUGAGAAAUCGCGACGGGGGGAUCCCAAGUGCCAUUCUUAACGGGAUGGCUUUUCUUAAGUGUAAAAAGCUUUUGGAAUAAGAGCUGGGCAAGACCGGUGCCAGCCGCCGCGGUAACACCGGCAGCUCUAGUGGUAGCUGUUUUUAUUGGGCCUAAAGCGUUCGUAGCCGGUUUGAUAAGUCACUGGUGAAAUCCUGUAGCUUAACUGUGGGAAUUGCUGGUGAUACUGUUGAACUUGAGGUCGGGAGAGGUUAGCGGUACUCCCAGGGUAGAGGUGAAAUUCUGUAAUCCUGGGAGGACCACCUGUGGCGAAGGCGGCUAACUGGAACGAACCUGACGGUGAGGGACGAAAGCUAGGGGCGCGAACGGAUUAGAUACCCGGGUAGUCCUAGCCGUAAACGAUGCGGACUUGGUGUUGGGAUGGCUUUGAGCCGCUCGGGUGCCGAAGGGAAGCUGUUAAGUCCGCCGCCUGGGAAGUACGGUCGCAAGACUGAAACUUAAAGGAAGU
rnacentral:rRNA from 1 species